AUUGAACGCUGGCGGCAUGCCUUACACAUGCAAGUCGAACGGCAGCACGGACCUCGGUCUGGUGGCGAGUGGCGAACGGGUGAGUAAUAUAUCGGAACGUACCUUUCAGUGGGGGAUAACUAUCCGAAAGGAUAGCUAAUACCGCAUAUUCUGUGAGCAGGAAAGCAGGGGAUCUUCGGACCUUGCGCUGAUUGAGCGGCCGAUAUCAGAUUAGCUAGUUGGUGGGGUAAAGGCCUACCAAGGCGACGAUCUGUAGCGGGUCUGAGAGGAUGAUCCGCCACACUGGAACUGAGACACGGUCCAGACUCCUACGGGAGGCAGCAGUGGGGAAUUUUGGACAAUGGGGGCAACCCUGAUCCAGCCAUGCCGCGUGAGUGAAGAAGGCCUUCGGGUUGUAAAGCUCUUUCGUCCGGGAAGAAAUCGCAUUGGCUAAUACCUGAUGUGGAUGACGGUACCGGAAUAAGAAGCACCGGCUAACUACGUGCCAGCAGCCGCGGUAACAC
rnacentral:rRNA from 1 species